CAAAGUUGUCCUAAAACCAAAACAAUACUCGUUCUUGUCUUAGGAAAACUUUAAUGAAACUUUUUGAUCCACUUCAAAUGUUGACUACUAUAUACUGUGUGUGUGUGU